UACGGGGGGGGCAAGCGUUGUUCGGAAUUACUGGGCGUAAAGGGCUCGUAGGUGGCCAACUAAGUCAAACGUGAAAACCCGAGGCUCAACCUCGGGCCUGCAGUCGAUACGGGCAAACUAGAGUGUUGCAGGGGAGACUGGAAUUCCUGGUGUAGCGGUGAAAUGCGCAGAUAUCAGGAGGAACACCGGUGGCGAAGGCGGGUCUCUGGGCAACAACUGACGCUGAGGAGCGAAAGCGUGGGGAGCGAACAGG
rnacentral:rRNA from 1 species